AGAUGCCUCGAGUUUUUACAAGAGGUUGGGACUGGACAUUUUGGCCCUGUCCUCAACUUCCGGGCAGCCUGAGGAGGUCUCAGUUUUGUUUUACUUUACACUGUAAAUAAAACAAAAGAACUGAGCCACCCAGAAAGCGUUCAGUGCAGCAAGCGAGCCACAUAGUCCGACAGAACACUAAACCUACUCAGAGGCCCGACAGAGUAGGACAACAGUGGACUCAGUUUCAACAGAGAGAUAGGCAUUCUCAUGCAAUCAGUCAAAAUUAUCCUCAUGGAACUGGAAAUAAUGGAAAGACAGAGUCUGUGAGCAAUGCAUCCUCCUACCGGCCGCAACAUUUGCAACAAACUCGUCCAUAUGAGCAUCAUAUGCAUGCCAGGGCAGGUUUGGUAAAUGGAAGAGCAAACGGGGCAAACCAGUAUCCUCAACAAAGGCAACCAGCUCGUUCUGAUUAUCAGACUCAUCAUAGGACUGAUUUAGUGAAUGGUGGUGAUUUCCGCCGCCAUCAAGAAGUGCAACCUGCUCCUGUACAUCCAGGGACUGAGUCAAGAGCCGCAGCUUCCUUCCACAGAGCUCAGCAUGUGCAACCUGCUCGUCCUCAACAGAGAGUGGUUCGC